rnacentral:rRNA from 1 species
AUUGAACGCUGGCGGCAUGCCUUACACAUGCAAGUCGAACGGCAGCACGGGUGCUUGCACCUGGUGGCGAGUGGCGAACGGGUGAGUAAUACAUCGGAACAUGUCCUGUAGUGGGGGAUAGCCCGGCGAAAGCCGGAUUAAUACCGCAUACGAUCUACGGAUGAAAGCGGGGGACCUUCGGGCCUCGCGCUAUAGGGUUGGCCGAUGGCGGAUUAGCUAGUUGGUGGGGUAAAGGCCUACCAAGGCGACGAUCAGUAGCUGGUCUGAGAGGGCGACCAGCCACACUGGGACUGAGACACGGCCCAGACUCCUACGGGAGGCAGCAGUGGGGAAUUUUGGACAAUGGGCGAAAGCCUGAUCCAGCAAUGCCGCGUGUGUGAAGAAGGCCUUCGGGUUGUAAAGCACUUUUGUCCGGAAAGAAAUCCUUGGCCCUGAUACGGUCGGGGGAUGACGGUACCGGAAGAAUAAGCACCGGCUAACUACGUG